GACGAACGCUGGCGGCGUGCCUAAUACAUGCAAGUAGAACGCAGUUGCGAACGGGUGAGUAACGCGUAGGUACCUGCCUGGGAGCGGGGGAUAACUAUUGGAAACGAUAGCUAAUACCGCAUACUACCAGAUGGACCUGCGUUGUAUUAGCUAGUUGGUGAGGUAACGGCUCACCAAGGCAACGAUACAUAGCCGAGCCUGAAGGGGGGACCGCCCAGCUGGGACUGGGAAGCGGCCCAGACUCCUACGGGGGGCAGGAGGAGGGAAACAUCGGACAAGGGGGGAACGCUGGCCGAGCAAAGGCGGGGGAGUGAAGAAGGGUUUCGGGUCGUAAAGGUCUUUUGUUAAGGGAGCGGUACUUAACCAGAAAGGAACGGCUAACUACGUGUCAGCAGCCGCGGUAAUAC
rnacentral:rRNA from 1 species